UACGUAGGGAGCAAGCGUUGUCCGGAAUCAUUGGGCGUAAAGCGCGCGUAGGCGGCCCGAUAAGUCCGCUGUAAAAGUCAACGGCUCAACUGUUGAAAGCCGGUGGAUACUGUCGGGCUAGAGUACGGAAGAGGCAAGUGGAAUUCCUGGUGUAGCGGUGAAAUGCGCAGAUAUCAGGAGGAACACCGGUGGCGAAGGCGGGACUCUGGGCCGAUACUGACGCUGAGGAGCGAAAGCGUGGGGAGCGAACAGG
rnacentral:rRNA from 1 species